rnacentral:rRNA from 1 species
UCCCAGACUCCUACGGGAGGCAGCAGUGGGGAAUAUUGCACAAUGGGGGAAACCCUGAUGCAGCGACGCCGCGUGAGUGAAGAAGUAUCUCGGUACGUAAAGCUCUAUCAGCAGGGAAGAAAAUGACGGUACCUGACCAAGAAGCCCCGGCUAACUACGUGCCAGCAGCCGCGGUAAUACGUAGGGGGCAAGCGUUAUCCGGAUUUACUGGGUGUAAAGGGAGCGUAGACGGCAGCACAAGUCUGGAGUGAAAUCCCGGGGCCCAACCCCGGGACUGCUCUUGGAACUGCGUGGCUGGAGUGCAGGAGGGGCAGGCGGAAUUCCUGGUGUAGCGGUGAAAUGCGUAGAUAUCAGGAGGAACACCGGUGGCGAAGGCGGCCUGCUGGACUGCAACUGACGUUGAGGCCCGAAAGCGUGGGGAGCAAACAGGAUUAGAUACCCGUGUAAA